UCUGUGCUCCUGCCUCAAACCUGAACGAGAAAAUAACUGUGGAUGAGGUUGACCCACCUUUUACCAUUGGAAAUAAAUUCUCUUCCCUCCUUGUAUGUAGAGGCUUAGUAGCGUCAUGGUUCCUUUUGGUUUCUGUACUCGAUAGUUUGUUUCUUAGCUGGUACUGUAGGAGGUGAUUUAGGGCUUGUAUAGGGGGACAUAUACAUUAGAAAAGAGUUAAAAUAUCAAUUUUAAUUCUUUGUUUCGAUAUAGUUUUUCCAAACUUUUCUUUCCUUUUCUUUGUUGCGUGUUUUUCGGAGUCUACCGACAGGUGAGGCUGCGGAUUGGGGAUGUAGAAAGAUUGUCUGGCGGGUUGGCUCACAGCAUGGUAAUGGGUUUGAACUUUGUAUAUCUGAUAUCUAUUGUUGGGUAAAUUAUCACCCAAGGAUCAUGAUCACAUCUGCUGUGAUGUCAAGAGAGAUGCAAGUGCAGCCGCUUGUUUUGAAUAAUUUAGGGCGGAAGCAGCAUUUUAUUGACUGCAAUUUGUAAGAAGCGAAAUUUCCUUGCUAAUGUCCUGCAUGCCCACCAUUUGCGCAAUAAAUUAUCCUCCAAUGCACGUUCUAGAAUUGGACUCCUCUCUACGGCGUAGCCGACGUUUUAAUGGUUACCCUUUUAUAUUAUAUUAUUGGGACGAAUUCUUCAGAAAGCCUAAACAAAUUCAAGGCAGGAAAAGGAUUUCAACUUUCUAUUGAAGAAACGAGUAUAACUGAAUCAAUCCAGAGUCCUUGCCAAAAACAAUAUAAAAAUUAAAAAGCUCCCUUCUUAUGAACCUUCAAGGAGUGUACGUCAGUCAUUACGUUGACGUGUGAUGUGAAUUAUUUUGUUUGUCUCUUUUCUUAUUAAAUCUUUUUAAGAUAACAACCCUUAAAUUAUCUGAACUCUUUUCUCCAAAAAUUAAAAAAGAAAAAGGAAGCAAACCUGUACAUUUUCAAAGUAACUGUGUGUGGAGGUAGCGUUGUCAUUUCGAAUAAGAAAUUUAAUAAUCUAUUGUUUAAUAUAAUCUAUUGUUUUAAUAAUAAAAUUUAUUUUAUGAAUAAAAAAAGAGUUUUAAUUAUAUUGAAUUGUUAUUAUUAGCAUAAGAUUUUUAAGAUGUUGAUUCUUUAUAUAACUCUUAACUAGUAAAAUUUCAUUAAAAAAAAUAUUAGAUUAGAGUUCAUGAGUAAUUAAAUCUCAAAUUAUUAUAUAUUGACAAUUUUAAUUUUAAUAUCAUCCUAGCGUCAAAUCUAAGAUUUGACAAGUAAGGAUUUUGUUUUAUUGAUUUGGGCUUAGGAAUUAGAUAUACGCUUAUUUUCUUUGCAUGAGAAAUAAGAGGUUCUUCGAGCAGACAUGGUAAAUUUCUCAAAUAAUUUUUUUUUCCUUUCAUUCAUUUCAAUGAAUAUUACAUAUGCAUAUUUUUUAUUUUGUUUCCAUGAUUAUAAUUUAUCGAUUUUGAAAUUGAGGGAAAAUAUUCGAGUUAAAAAUUAAUUAUACUAAAUUAAUAUAUCAAAUCAAUUUGCACGUUCUUAUUUAACAAUACAUGUCUUUGUAUUGAUAGAUACUCAGACAUUAGUGAUACUUUUUUCAUAUUUAAAUUUAUUUUCGUACAAAUUAAAGUUUUAAAAAAUAAAUAUAUUAUGCUUGCAACUGUAGAAAAAUGAUAUUUGAGUCAAAUUUAGAAACAAAAACAUAGGGAAAAUUUGUGUGGUCUAAGCAAUUAAGAUUUGGAUUUUAUUGGUUUAGUUAAACUUUAGUUAACAGAUUAAAAAAAAAGUAGAGUGUCAAAGACGAAGAUGCCAGCCCCCACUUGAAUUGAAUAUCUGUUUAUAGCUUCAAGCUGCAGUAUUAGGCAUAUGUCUUUUGUCACUUACCCACAUGAAUUUUUUUGUUUCAAAAUCCAUAACUACAGUUUCGUCAUAUUCAGAGAACCGAAAUUGCUCAGUUUCUUUUGGUUGUAUCUUUUUGACUGUGCUUUUUUAGACAAAAACAUGGAGAAAAAGAGGGUAAUUUAUUAAUGAAGUGCAGAAGAUGAAAAGGAAAGGAAACCGUGUGCAAACCUUUGUUUCUUCUGAUUUUCUUCAAUUAUUUGGUUUUUUUUCUUUUCUUCUUUUCCAAAAUUUAUGAAAAUAAAGAAAAAGGAAAUUGAUCCCUAGUCUCCUUUGUUGCCUACAAUUCUACUUUUAGCCAUCACUUUGGAUCCAACGAAGACAAAUUGAUUUAUUUUUACAAGUAAGCACAUAUGAAAUAUGACCAUACUCUUGACGGAAAGGCAACCAUCUUGACCUGAAAACUUGGUUGUUUCUUGACUUUUACGAGACACACACGGAGAGAGAAAGUGUUAUGGUUAGAAUCGGGAUGCGUUUCAGACAACCACACUUGAAACGAAUGAAUACAUAUAUUUGGAAAGCUGAGGGCUUGUUGUAGUUUUCAGAAGUGGGUUCAGUUGAGAAACUUCAAACUUCCCUCCAUCCUCUCUCUCUCUCUCUCUCUCUCUCUACAAGGUAUAGCCUUCGGCGCACAUGCUUUGGUGCUUUCGUUUGAAACUUACAAUGGAGAUUUGAUAUAUAAGGAGGAAGUUUGAAAUUCACAGAGGUGUUUCUGUUGAUGUUUCUUGACUUGGGUUUUUGGUUUUCAAGUUAUAGAGCCUCCAGAAACACAUCAUUUGGAAGAGUCUAAGCUUCUAGAGUUGUGAACUCUUAAAUUUCUAUACAACCCCGUCUGCGUUUAUAUCAGAGUUUCCAGUCAGAUUAAGUUUUAGGAAAAUUCAAGCUGAUGUAUCAAAAGCAAAGAUUGAAGAUGUAUUAAAAGCUAUACCUAAAGGCAGCCAUUGAAAGCAUUUAUUGCACAAAGUUUUCUCUCCGAACUUUCUGUAAGUAUAAUGUCAUUGCUAACCCAUGUCCCUUGCAUGCUCACUUCUCCCAAUCUUCCUCUUCUUCUUCUGUUCUUAAUUAAUCUUUUUCCUUUCUUAAUUCUGUCCUUUAAUUCUCUUAUUGGUCAUUGUUGCAAGUUAAAGCUAAGCUAAUUCUAAUGCUAUCAUCGAGCCACCAGAUUAGAACUUUGUCGGCCUGCAAACAUCUGCAAGUUGCAGUUUCCAUCAUACUUCUUCUUCGAUCUUUUUUCUGAUUCUUUAAACAGAAGAAAACUGUUAUUUUGUUUUUCUUUUUUGUUCCUUUCGAUGUCUAGCGGGUCUAGAUCAUGUCGGUUAAAAAAUGUUCUUUGUGACAAACAGGAUCCAAGAAUAAGUCCAGAAUUCUUCAAGCCUCAAGUGGAGAAGCAACAGAGCUGGACAGAACCAUACACAACAUAUCCUUUAAGAGAGUACUACCUAUACGCAACGUUUUGUUUAUUGAAGGUUCUCUUUUGAAUCUGCAAACAUAAAACACACCGUUUUAUUUAUGUAAAGUUUGAAAUUCAGUUAGUGUAGAUAGUUAGUUGUAUAAAUUAGAAUAAUUAGUUUUUUUGCUUUCUGUCAAUUGCUCAUUGCCCUAUGUAUAUAAGACAAGGGACAAACUAUCCUUUGUGGGAAAUUUCAUUCUGAAACAGAUCAGAAUUCUUUUCAACCGCCUUAGCAUUUUCUUCCCAUUUUCAUAUUCUGUCUUGGUACCAGAGCAGGUAGGACUGAGGACCAGACGAAUAGGGCUUUGACAGCAAAUUUUUUUUUGGAGUGGUGGUUUUAAUAGAACAGUGAGUAUACUGGUUAUCCUUUCAUCCUUUAUUCUUUAGCUUUCAUUUACUUGCCUAUUAGCUGAGAAAAUGUUUGAAUCAAGUGAAUCAACCACUAGAAACACUGCACCUAAACCACAGCUCACAUCACAGGUUUCACAAGCUAAUGAUCCCCAAUCACCAUAUUACCUUCAUCACACUGACCACCUUGGUUCAGUGGUUGUAAACCCCAAACUCACCACAAACAACUAUGUUGCAUGGAGCCGAUCUUUCUUACUAACCUUGUCAAUCAAAAACAAGGCUGGAUUCAUAAAUGGCUCCAUUCCCAAGCCUUCAAUCACUAAUGAUCUAUAUCCUAUCUGGAACAGAUGCAAUAACCUCAAAGUAUCCUGGUUAUUAGAUUCUAUCUCCCAACCAAUAGCCUCUACCAUCUUCUUUAUGGAAUCUGCUGCUGAAAUUUGGAAUACCCUGAAACUGAACUAUGCUCAACCUGAUGAUACCCGUGUUUGUAAUCUUCAAUACACACUUGGAAGUGUAAUUCAAGGAGUCAAAACAGUAGAUGCCUAUUUUAUAGAGCUAAAAUGCAUAUGGGAAGAACUAAGAAACUAUAGGCCCUUGCCACAUUGCGAAUGUGAAAAAUGCAAUGCCAGUUGCUUCAAGAAAUUCUCUAAUCAAUACCAAAAGGACAUGGUAUUUAGGUUCCUCAAUGGUUUGAAUGAAUCCUUCUUAACCAUUAGGUCCCAAAUCAUUCUAAUGGACCCAAUACCAACACUAGACAAGGUUUAUAGCAUGGUACUGAGAGAAGAAUCAUAGAGAAAUAUGUUCCUGCAAUCCCAACCCUUCCUUGAGUCUUCAGCAAUGUUAGGUACUACUGAUGUAAAGAGAAAGCCAAGGAAGGAUCUUACUUGUACUCACUGUGGGAAGAAAGGACAUGUAAAGGAGAAGUGUUAUAAGAUAAUUGGUUUUCUAGAGGAUUUUAAAUUCACUAAAGGGAAGCCUCAUGUGAAGAAAGGGGCAGCUGUAAACAGUUUUACUACAGCAGUUGAACCACAGCCAGAUGACAAUCAAGCAAAUCAUGUGGAGGAGAUAGGAGGCUCUAGUUCCAUGUCACAGAUGACUAUGCUUAAGCAGCAAGUUAACAAGUUAAUGGAUCUCUUAAAUGAGAAUGGUUUAAUUAGCAAUGAUGGUAAGAGCGCCCCUGCAAACACUUAACCCAACAAACACUCACUUGUUAAUUCUGCCUUUGCAGGUAUAGUCUCUAAUUACCCUUGCUUCAAUACACAUAAUAAUUUGCCAUUUGAAUUCAAGCAUGUUAACACUAUCAUGAUUAAGCAUGGACAUUGGAUCAUGGACUCAAGUGCAACAGAUCAUAUAGCCUAUUCCUUAGAUAAUUUUCUUCAAGCCAACCCUGUAGAGAACUAUUUUGUUCAACUGCCAAAUGAUAGAAGAACAUUAGUUUCCCAUAUAGGCACAGUUAAAGUAAACUCUUCAUUGAUUCUAUAUGAUGUCCUGUGUGUACCAAGCUUUAAAUUCAAUAUAAUAUCAAAAGUAAACUUACCUGUAGCAAGAAAAACUAUGUGCUGUUUAUCGACUCACAUUGUAUUAUCCAGGAUACCCUCUCUUGGACAGUGAUUGGGGUUGUUAGGGCUACUUCAGGGUUAUAUCUUAUGCAAGACAGUGAGCAGGAUAUGUCUAGAUUUUGUUUUGACAAAGUUGUAAAGUUUCCUUCAAUUUUCUCUAUCGAUUCUUGUAAACCAGAAAACAAAAUCAAAGGUUUUAAUAUUUGGCACUUUAGGUUAGGCCAUGCACCUUUAGAAUGGAUUAAUGUGAUCCACCAACAUUGUCCAGUUGUUGAUUGUUCAAAUGAAUUAAUAUGUGAGAUCUGCCCUUUGGCAAAGCAAAGAAAGCUUUCUUUUCCUCUUCAUAUUCAAAGUACAAAUGCUAUUUUUCAAUUAAUUCAUGCUGACAUUUGGGGACCUUGUGAGGUUUCAACUUUAUCAGAACAAAGAUAUUUUUUAACUAUUGUGUAUGACUUUUCUUGAUUCACUUGGGUAUUCUUAAUGAGAAACAAGUCAGAAGUCUCAACUAUUAUUCCUUCUUUUGAUACAUAUGUACAAAAAUAGUUUAAUUGCUCAAUUAAAUGCAUAAGAUCAAAUAAUGGGAAUGAGUUUAGACUUACUGAUUUUUUCACCAAAACUGGCAUAGUUCAUUAGCUGUCCUAUGUAGGUAACCCUCAGUAGAAUGGUGUUGUUGAAAGAAAACACCAACACAUUCUGAUGGUUGCAAGAGCCUUAAUACAUCAGUCAAGUAUCCCUCUUUAUUUCUGGGGAGAUGCAGUCCUCACUGCAGUUCACAUAAUUAAUAGGGUACCUAGCAAAAUAAUUCACAAUAAGUCACCAUUUGAAUUGUUACAUGGAAAGCUACCAUCAUAUGACCAUCUCAAAGUUUUUGGAUGUUUAUGUUUUGUUUCCACCUUAACACAAAAUAGAAAGAAGUUGGACCCGAUAGCAAGCAAAUGUAUUUUUUUAGGCUAUCCAAAUAAUGUAAAAGGGUAUAAGGUAUAUGAUCUUUGUGAACAAGAGGUCCUAAUAUCAAGGGAUAUUGUUUUUCAUGAGCAUGUGUUUCCAUUUCAUUCAUCAAGCAAUAACAUGCAGUCUGAUGCAUUUUAUCAAACACAUAGUAUGCAUGAUGAAUACAUGGAAGAUUUUGAUGCUAAUUGUCCAUAUCAGCCUUACCAACAGCACACAACACCUGAAUUAUGUUCUCUUGAGCCUUCUUCAUCAUCUGAAACAUUUUCUUCAUUGAAUUCAAGUGACAUUUUCCUCAAUCCACCCUUAAACGACAGCAUAUCACAAACUGUAGACAGUUUUAAUGUUGAUAUGAGUACUUCUCAAGAAGCAGUAGCACCAGCCAGAAGAAGUACAAGACAAAAACAACCUCCUAAGUACCUUGAUGCAUAUUAUGUUGACAUACCUUCACAAUCUAAUUCUAUUACCCUUCAUCCAAUAACCAAGCACCUAUCAACUAAAUAACUCCCACCUGCACAUAAGGCAUUUACUAUUACUUUGUCCCAUAUUCAUGAGCCAAAUUCUUACCAUCAAGCUAUAAACUAUUCUCAUUGGAGAGAAGCAAUGGACCUAGAACUGAAAGCUUUGCAAGACAAUGGUACAUGGACCAUAGAACCUCUACCUUCAAAUUCACAUGUAAUUGGCUGCAAGUGGGUAUACAAGGUUAAAAUGAAGGCAAAUGGUGAAAUUGAAAGAUAUAAGGCAAGAUUGGUUGCUAAAGGGUACAACCAAGUUGCAAGAUUUGAUUACCAAGAGAUUUUUAGUACUGUAGCAAAACAGUCCACCAUUAGAGUGUUCUUUGCUCUAGCUGCUACAAAUAGUUGGUCUUUAUCACAA
rnacentral:lncRNA from 1 species